UCAGGUUGAUCCUGCCGGAGAUCACCGCUAUUAUAGUCCACUAACCCAUGCGAGUCCUGGGUAAACCAGAGCGAACGGCUGAGUAACACGCAGUUAACAUCACUUUAGGUGGCGAAUAACCUUGGGAAACUGAGAUGAAUACGCCAUAGUCAAUUAUGCCUGGAACGGUUUAUUGACCAAAGCUUCGGCGCCUAAAGAUUGGACUACGGAGGAUUAGGUCGAUGUUAGGGUAAUGACCUGACAUGCCAAUAAUCCUUAGGGGCCAUGAAAGUGGUAGCCUCCAGAUGGAUUCUGAGACACGAAUCCAGGCCCUAUGGGGCGCAGCAGGGGGGAAAACUCCGCAAUGCACGAAAGUGUGACGGGGGAACUCUAAGUGCCAGCACACUGUGUUGGCUUUUCAUUAGUCCAAAUCGCUAGUGGAAUAAGUGGGGGGUAAGACCGUUGCCAGCCGCCGCGGUAAUAACGGCUCCACAAGUGGUGAUCACGUAUAUUGGGUCUAAAGCAUUCGUAGCCGGUUUGUUACGUCUUCUGUG
rnacentral:rRNA from 1 species